rnacentral:lncRNA from 1 species
UAUCCUGUCUGGGUGCAGGCAAGGCUUGAUUUUAUAACAGACAUCCAGCAGGUGCGUUGGCCAUCUAAGCAAGUGUUUCAUACAAAAGUAGAACUCAGCAGUUAGCCUGUUUAAUCUUGUGACCCAUUACCAUGUAGGAAUAGCUGAGGCAGUGAAAUAUUUUGCAACAAUCAUUACAUUUUUAAGAGUGGCCCAACUACACCGGAAAGUGGUUUCUCUUGAGCCAGCAGACAAGGUACACUCAAAGUAGGAGCAACUUCCUCAUGGCUUUUACAAGCUAAGAACAAUUUCAUUUUUUACAAGCUUAGCAAUCUUAGCAAUGUAUCCUCUAAAACAUAAUGUUCACCAUCACACCUGUAGUAAGAAUGGAGGACUGGGCCUCUUGCCGUCCGCAGAGGCAUCCUCCUUACUGCUUAGAAAACAGAGCUGCCUUUACUGGGGUUGGGAGCACAGGGCCUAGAAGUAGUCCUCCAAGGACACUGGACACCUCAUGCCAUCCCAGGCUUCAUGCUACUCUGGAAGCCUUGAGGAGGCUCUAGGUCUUUACCUGGGAAACUGGGUACCAAGGUGGAGAUGGCAUAUAAUACAAUGAACUGGUCUUCAAGGAUUCAUGAAUACUUAGACAGGGUGUCCUCAGACCCACAGGGCCACAUCUGACUCCCCAAUCUGCAAAUGCUUGGUUGCAGUGUUCUUCUCUUUUGAGGAGACUCACAUGUCCCAGGCUGGCCUUCACUUAGUAUGCUGAGGGUGACUUCUUAUCCCCCUGCCUCUACCACAACAACUAGUUCUUGUUGUUUGUUUUUGUAUUGGCCAGAGAUUUGGAGUCUUUGCCUCUCAGAUGCUGCCCAACAGAUCUCAGCAUUAUGAGAUUUUGAUUGUUUUGUUUUUCUUAUGUGAGUUUUUUUUCAGAAAGAGAGUGAGCGAGCAAGCGAGCGAGAGAGAGAGAGAGAGAGAGAGAGAGAGUUCAGUUAUCUGUCUUUGCCCCCCCCCCCCCCUUGAGGCAGUUUCAUGCACUGCCUUGCCCUCGUUAGCUUUUUGUUUUUUGAUGCUUUCCAACAUGCUUGUUAGGGACCUGAUGGGCUUCAUUUCUCUCAGUAGCAGACUGAUAAUAAAAUUAUUCAUAGAAAC